rnacentral:rRNA from 1 species
GAUUGUAGUCUGCAACCCGACUACAUGAAGCUGGAAUCGCUAGUAAUCGCGGAUCAGAAUGCCGCGGUGAAUACGUUCCUGGGUCUUGUACACACCGCCCGUCACACCAUGGGAGUCGGAAAUGCCCGAAGUCUGUGACCCAACCGCGAGGAGGGAGCAGCCGAAGGCAGGUCGGAUGACUGGGGUGAAGUCGUAACAAGGUAAC